rnacentral:rRNA from 1 species
CCCUUAGAUGUUCUGGGCCGCACGCGCGCUACACUGAUGCAUUCAACGAGUUUCUUCCUGGUCCGAGAGGAAUGGGUAACCUUUUGAAAGUGCAUCGUGAUAGGGAUAGACUAUUGCAAUUAUUGGUCUUAAACGAGGAAUUCCUAGUAGACGUAGUUCAUCAGACUGCAUCGAUUACGUCCCUGCCCUUUGUACACACCGCCCGUCGCUCCUACCGAUUGAAUGCUCAGGUGAGCCAUUCGGACUUUCAUCAUGCUGGUUUCCAGUUUUGAUGAAGGAAAGUCUUGCGAACCUUAUCAUUUAGAGGAAGGAGAAGUCGUAACA